GGAGGACGGGACAUUUCGGAAGCCAGAGCCGUCGUUUGCGGAGCUGGAGAAGAGACUCGGCGAUUUCUUUCUGAAAAGUGCCAUGCUGCAGGAGGUGCUGCUGGGAUUCAAAGAGACGCUGCGACGGGAGCUGGGGAGCAACACAGGCUGCAGAAUAACAUCCCCGGGUCCCUCCAGAUUCUCCCAGCCUGCCCAGGAAAGGGAAAUGGAGGCAGCAGACCUGGUUCAGGGGCCGGUGACCUUCGAGGAGGUGGCUGUGUAUUUCAC